rnacentral:rRNA from 1 species
AAUAGAUACCCGGGUAGUCCACGCCGUAAACGAUGAGUGCUAAGUGGUUAGGGGGUUUCCGCCCCUUAGUGCUGCAGCUAACGCAUUAAGCACUCCGCCUGGGGAGUACGGUCGCAAGACUGAAACUCAAAGGAAUUGACGGGGGCCCGCACAAGCGGUGGAGCAUGUGGUUUAAUUCGAAGCAACGCGAAGAACCUUACCAGGUCUUGACAUCCCACUGACCGCUAUGGAGACAUAGUUUUCCCUUCAGGGACAGUGGUGACAGGUGGUGCAUGGUUGUCGUCCGCUCGUGUCGUGAGAUGUUGGGUUAAGUCCCGCAACGAGCGCAACCCUUGAUCUUAGUUGCCAUCAUUUAGUUGGGCACUCUAAGGUGACUGCCGGUGACAAACCGGAGGAAGGUGGGGAUGACGUCAAAUCAUCAUGCCCCUUAUGACCUGGGCUACACACGUGCUACAAUGGACGGUACGAAACGGUUGCCAACCCGGCGAGGGGAGCUAAUCCGAUAAAACCGUUCUCAGUUCGGAUUGUAGGCUGCAACUCGCUAC